rnacentral:lncRNA from 1 species
AUUCCAUCGUGAGGAGGGGCCCUGUGACUGCAGAUACUCAAUGCCUUCCAAGUGCGCUGGUGCCACCUUCAAGUGACACUUCUCAGAGUGUCACCCAGUGGCCCAGAGGCUCCCUAGUGUGUAGUCCACCCUCGCUCAGACACGGCGGCCUGUACCUGACAUCCACACUCCCCACCUGCUGCCACCCACAGGAGCAUUUCAGGGCAUCACGAAUUGGUGGCUUUUCUUUCCAGUUCAACAGGCAUCUCCCAAGUCACCUGUGGUGAUUGCUUUUAUAUGUCCACGUGGCCACACUCAUCUAGACAUUGCUCUGAAGGUAUUGCGGUUGUGGUUAAUCUCUAUCAUCAGUUGACCUUAGGUGGAGGAGGUGACCUUUGAUGAUGUGAGUGAGCCCUGUCUAAGCAGGUGGAGGCAUUGAGAGCAAAACCUGAGGUUUCCCAGAAAAGGAGAAAUUUUGCCUCAAGGCUGCAGCUUCAGCUCCUGAUUUCAGACCUGCUGGCCCCACAAUCACUUGAGCCGAUUUAAAAAAUCUAUCCAUCAAUCAAUGUAUCCAUCCACCCAUCAACUCACCUAUUCAUACAUGUACUCAUCCUUGCAUCCAUUCAUCCCUCCCUCCUUCUUUCCCUCCUUCGUUCAUUCUUCUCCUCCCCCCUCCCUCCCUCCCUCCCUCCCCCCCUCCCUCCCCCCCUCCCUCCCUCCCUCCCUCCCCCCUCCCUCCCUCCCUCCCUCCCUCCCCCCUCCCUCCCUCCCUCCCUCCCUCCCUCCCCCCUCCCUCCCUCCCUCCCCCCCCUCCCUCCCUCCCCCCCCUCCCCCCCUCCCUCCCUCCCUCCCUUCUCUUCUUUCCUCCUUCUUCCCCCAAUCCCUUCCCUCCUUCCCUCCCUUCUCCCCAUCCCCAUCCACGGAUCCAUCCUAUGGACCCCAUCCUAUGUGUCCCUGAAGACCCCCGAGUGGCAUAGCAUUCGUUUGCAUGUGUGUGGCAUUGGCAGGGGAGUCUGGGCAGGGGGUGGUCAGUGCAAUGACUUGGGCCUGAAAGAAUGAGGUUUUGGUGGUGAGCUCUUCCCCUGUGGAGCUGAAUGUGCAGCCGUGUGUUUUGUUCACGGCUUCCUGCGUCUGCCCUCUAGAGGCCCACAGAAGCCUCGCACCUCCCCAGCCCGGCGUCUGCGGGUGAAUUGUCUGAGCAGGAGCACAACAGCUUAAGCUUCAUGUUCUCCGGGCCCAGGUGAAAUACUCUCACCCCCUCUGAUGGCCACUUUCCAAUCCUGUUAUCCGCCCCCAGUCUUGUGAUCUGUCCCACAGCAAACACUCCUUCCAGGUGUGAGUUGUGCCAAGGAACACUGUUUCGUUGUCACACAUAGUACUUAGACGCAGUGAGUGAAGAGACACUUGGUCCCGGGCCCCCUUCUCUGCACACACUGCCCUGUGUGCUACAGCAUGCCAGGCAGGGUGCCAGGACAGCAGGCCCGUGAAGACCAUGGCGGCGGCUGUCUGAAGACCAGCUCACAGCAGGAGCUGCGCUGAGAUCUUCUCCUGGGUGCUCAUGCUGGGGCCCGAGGUCGUAUGGAAAAGGCUUGUCCCCCUUGCUGGAUGUCACAAGGCUCAGCCACGUGGAUAGAAGCUGCUUGGAUGACCACAUUAAGUGAAUGGCCGCAUCUGUGCACUGGCUCUGCAGCCCUGGGCAGCGACACAGAGACAGCAAGCAGAGCAUCCAUCACCAGGAUUCUCAGGCAGGUGUUACACCAGAGCUCAUGCGUGUCUGGCCCCAGGCUCUGAGCUGUGGCGCAUUCUUCUUGCACAUGCCCUGUAGGCCGGGUGAAAUGUUGUCACUGAAGGUGAGCUAGGAAGUCACAGGGCAGGUUUCACAAGAGACACAUCACAAAGACCCUGCUCAUAAAACAGGAUGUGGGAGAGAAGCCAGCCAAAACCAAGAUGGUGGCAAAAGAAACCUCUGUUCAUUAUACACUAAUCAUAAUGCAUUUGCAUAUGCUCAAUGACGUGCCUGGCAGCACCAAGACAGUUUACAGACGCCAUGGCAACGUCUGGAAGUUACCCUAUGGGGUCUGAAGUGGGGAGGAAUUCUCAGUUCUUGGGGAAUUCCCUGCCUUUUUCCCAGAAAACUCAUGAAUAAUCCACCUGUUGUUCGGCAUAUAAUCAAGAAAUAACCAUAAAAAUAGCCACCCUUUUAUUCCUGUGCGGUAACCACCCAUUUAUUUCUUUACUUUCUUGAUUAACCUGAUUUCACUCUGUCCUCUUGCUCUUUUUUUUUUUUUGAGACAGAGUCUCGCCCUGUCACCAGGCUGGAGUGCAGUGGCAUGAACUCAGCUCACUGCAACCUCCACCUCCCGGGUUCCAGCGAUUCUCCUGCCUCAGCCUCCCGAGUAGCUGGGAUUACAGAUGUGCACCACCACGUCCAGCUAAUCUUUGUAUUUUUAGUAGAGAUGGGAUUUCACCAUGUUGGCCAGGCUGGUCUCAAAAUCCUGACCUCAAGCAAUCCACCUGCCUCGGCCUCCCAAAGUGCUGGGAUUACAGGCGUGAGCCACUGUGCCCAGCCUGUCCUCUCACUCUUGAAUUCCUUCCUGCAUGACACUAAGAACCCAUGUGACCUCCCGGGAUGAGCCCCGAUUUGGGGGUUCACCUGUGAUAAAGUAAGCUGGUGAACAGCAGGGAAGCACUCUGUGUCUGUAGCUUCCUGUGAGUAUGCAAUCAUUUCAAAAUUAAAAGUUUGUUAAAGCUAUAAAAAUUAUAAAAUAAAUUAAUAAAAAUCAUUG